rnacentral:lncRNA from 1 species
UCGGAGCGAAACGAGCGGCUUCCCAAGAGAGGAGGAGGCCGCCGCCCCGCUGCCGCUCUCUCCGGGCUCCUUCGCAGCUGUUUACGUUGCCGAGAUGAGGGUUGCCCUCUCGAGCGCUUUAGUCUUGGGAUUGGCGAAGGGAGGGAGCGGGAUGAAGGCCAGGCCCGGCCCAGCUGCUGCUGCUGCUGCAGCCGCCGCCUGGGAGAGCAAAUAGGUCGGGCAAGAGGGGAGCGGAGGUUUUUAAAGCACCCUUCUGCGGCGCCGUGUAAAUAUAAAACAAUUGGAGAAGCUCCAGAUCGGGUUGCAGGGCGACGCCGGGAGCCGCGUUACGUGUCGGUGUGAAUAGGCCGACAUCCCCGCAGGUUCAUUCCUUGGCAGCAACAGGGCGCCUUUCCCCACCUGCCGAGGGGAGCCGCUGCCCCAAUUUCUGCUGCCCUUCGCAGAUGAAAAGCUUAAUUCCGUUUAAAGUCCGUUUUGGCCGGCAUUUCCUUUGGAAGGAAACUAUUUCUGACUACUUUCCCCCCCUUUCCUUUUAUAAACGCAAAAGCGACUUUUCAAGACACAGUGACUUGGGCACAACAUUUAUACAUGAUUCUCUCUCCCCCUCCUUUAUGAGUAGGACUCAAGGCAACAUCUACAGGCCAAAAUUGGAAUUUUUUUGUUGUUUGUCAAAAUGGACUUAAGCCCCUUUUGGAAUUAAGUUCUUCAAAUUCUAGCUGGCAGCAUUUUUGCUGAUGAUGGUUCAGCUCACAAGCACCUGCCAAAGCGCAAAGCUCAGCCCUAGUUAGUCAUCUGAGAGGGACAUAUCCUGCAGUUUUAUACACAUUUAAAGUAGAUGAAUAAAGUUAAUUUUGGAAGAUGGAAAAAAUAUAAAAAAUAAAUUUAAGGAACCACAGAAAGAGGGGGAAGAAAGCGAGUUUCCAAAUGUUAAAAUGGUUGUAAAAUUAUGGAAAUGUAUAAAAUUUAAAAUCAGAAAUAGAAGUUUUAAAAAGACCAUCAUUAUUAUGAGUGCUAUUUUUCUAGAAAAAUAGGUGACAGAAUUCACCAUUAACUCCUGCAACAGUGCAACAGGACUUUUCCCCCUGGCGCCAUUGGGCCUGCCUCGCUUAAAUAUAGUUCACCCCCCUCACAGAAGACCAGUUCCACAAAUUCCUACAAACUACCCCAGAUUAACUUGUGUGAGGGAAAAUUUAAUAAUUUGGAGUCUCAGGCAGGAUUUGGUCAAAUAAACAGUAAAUAUUUUAUUAAACAAAGGAAGUUUAUGGCACAAGUGGGUAAAGCAUAGGAUACUUCGGAUUAUAAUGCUAUUUCACUUCAGUUCUGUCUCAGUUGUUGCUUGCCGCUUAAUACUUUGGUUCUUAAGCAAGGUGGUAUUUUCUGUCAGUUACACACCCCUUGGACAACCCUGCUCCUGAGGUCCUCCAAGUAACAGACCCAAGGGGUCUCCACACCCCUCUUAACUGGUUUGGGAGUCUUCUUAUUGUGUUUUAGUGUUUUGUUGGAAGCCGCCCAGAGUGGCUGGGGAAACCCAGCCAGAUGGGCGGGGUAUAAAUAAAUUAUUAUUAUUAUUAUUAUUAUUAUUCUCUUUUUGUAGCAGAAUCUCUCCCCUCCUGACUGGAAUGAGACCUAAGUAGCCUGUAUUCUCGCAGCUUCUCCUGGCUCAGCCUCCCAGUUAAUUCCUGGCCUAUUACUCUUACAGGACACCACACACUGUCCUUCACACUAAGCUCAGAGACUCCUUUCUCUAGCUUGUGAUAUAUUCCUCAGAGAGACUGGAGGAGGGCAAAUGUUGUCCCUAUUUUCAAAAAGGGGAAAAGAGAGGACCCAAAUAAUUACCGCCCAGUCAGUCUGACAUCAAUACCAGGGAAGAUUCUGGAGCAGAUCAUUAAGCAAACAGUCUGUGAGUACCUAGAAAGGAAUGCUGUGAUCACCAAUAGUCAGCAUGGAUUUCUGAAAAAUAAGUCAUGUCAGACUAACCUGAUCUCGUUUUUGACAGAAUUACAAGCCUGGUAGAUGAAGGGAACGCAGUGGAUGUAGCCUACCUUGAUUUCAGCAAGGCAUUGGACAAGGUGCCCCAUGAUAUUCUUGUAAAGAAGCUGGUAAAAUGCGGUCUUGACUAUGCUACCACUCAGUGGAUUUGUAACUGGCUGACUGACCGAACCCAAAGGGUGCUCAUCAAUGGUUCCUCUUCAUCCUGGAGAAGAG